CAAUUUUUACUGAGAAUAGAUAGGAGCACGCAUUUUAUGUCUAUUAUUUCUAUGAAAAAACUCCACUCCCUAUCUUGGCGCCAAAUUGAAUUUCGCGGCCGCGCCGGUAAAGGCCUGGGGACUAGGUGCUCUACCGUAUCUGAAAUAGCCUUCACCAAUGAAAUCCGGCAUAAAAAUCCUGGCGGUCUAAAUGUUCAGUAUAUUUACACAUUCCAUCGACUUUCUGUUCAGCAGACUUUUGAUACCUUGAACGAAAGUUUAUGACGAUGAUUUUCUUUGCAAAAACUGUACUUUAAAAAUUCGUUAGCUUCUGAAUUUGAAAACUGAUCUGGAAAGACGGAACUUUUGAGUAUAUGGUUAUAUUGCAUGGUUCUAAUGAUUCGUUUAUUUUUCUGUUGUUUCCCCUUGUGUAAAUAUACUGCUUUGUACGCAGCACGCAACAGUUUAGACAGGGUCAUGAGGCAGGAUGUGUGCAAGAAAAACUUUGCCAGAGUUUUGUUUUUUGAAAUAGGACUACGAUUGGAAAUUGCUG